CCUACGGGAGGCUGCAGUAGGGGAUAUUGCUCAAUGGGGGAAACCCUGAUGCAGCAACGCCGCGUGGAGGAUGAAGGUUUUCGGAUUGUAAACUCCUUUUGUUAGAGAAGAUAAUGACGGUAUCUAACGAAUAAGCACCGGCUAACUCCGUGCCAGCAGCCGCGGUAAUACGGAGGGUGCAAGCGUUACUCGGAAUCACUGGGCGUAAAGGGCGCGUUGGCCGGGUAGCAAGUCAGAUGUGAAAUCCUAUGGCUUAACCAUAGAACUGCAUUUGAAACUGUUGUUCUAGAGUAUGGGAGAGGUAGGUGGAAUUCUUGGUGUAGGGGUGAAAUCCGUAGAGAUCAAGAGGAAUACUCAUGGCGAAGGCGGCCUGCUAGAACAUAACUGACGCUGAGGCGCGAAAGCGUGGGGAGCAAACAGGAUUAGAUACCCUAGUAGUC
rnacentral:rRNA from 1 species